ensembl:snRNA U6 U6 spliceosomal RNA
AUGUAGCAUGGCACACAUGCAUGGAAAUUGGAACAGUGCAGAGGUGAUUAGCAUGGCUCCUGUGCAAGGAUAACACACAAAUUUGAUGUGUUUUCCAUACUUUU